AUGGGGAUACAUCCUCUCACUGCCAAUUUUGUUAAUGCCUCCUCGCCGAAGGUUUCCAUGAAAAGAGGAGGAUGGUCUAGCCCCCCGACGGGGUUUGUUAAACUUAACGUUGAUGCUUCUUUUGACCAUGACCUACUCAGGGGUACGAUGAGGGUGGACUUAAGAGAUCAUUAA
rnacentral:rRNA from 1 species